GUACCGGUACAGAGUCAAUGUGGAGACUAUAUACAGGGGGUACCGGUACAGAGUUAAUGUGGAGGCUAUAUACAGGGGGUACCGGUACAGAGUCAGUGUGGAGGCUAUAUACAGGGGGUACCGGUACAGAGUCAGUGUGGAGGCUAUAUACAGGGGGUACCGGUACAGAGUCAAUGUGGAGGCUAUAUACAGGGGGUACCGGUACAGAGUCAGUGUGGAGGCUAUAUACAGGGGGUACGGGUACAGAGUCAGUGUGGAGGCUAUAUACAGGGGGUACCGGUACAGAGUCAGUGUGGAGGCUAUAUACAGGGGGUACCGGUACAGAGUCAGUGUGGAGGCUAUAUACAGGGGUACCGGUACAGAGUCAGGGUGGAGGCUAUAUACAGGGGGUACCGGUACAGAGUCAGUGUAGAGGCUAUAUACAGGGGGGUACCGGUACAGAGUCAGUGUGGAGGCUAUAUACAGGGGGCUGGAGGCUAUAUACAGGGGGUACCGGUACAGAGUCAGUGUGGAGGCUAUAUACAGGGGGUGCUGGUACAGAGUCAAUGUGGAGGCUAUAUACAGGGGGUACCGGUACAGAGUCAGUGUGGAGGCUAUAUACAGGGGGUACGGGUACAGAGUCAAUGUGGAGGCUAUAUACAGGGGGUACCGGUACAGAGUCAAUGUGGAGGCUAUAUACAGGGGGUACCGGUACAGAGUCAAUGUGGAGGCUUUAUACAGGGGGUACCGGUACAGAGUCAAUGUGGAGGCUAUAUACAGGGGGUAUCGGUACAGAGUCAGUGUGGAGGCUAUAUACAGGGGGUACUGGUACAGAGUCAAUGUGGAGGCUAUAUACAGGCGGAGUACCGUUACAGAGUCAGUGUGGAGGCUAUAUACAGGGGGAUACUGGUACAGAGUCAGUGUGGAGGCUAUAUACAGGGGGGUACCGGUACAGAGUCAGUGUGGAGGCUAUAUACAGGGGGGGUACCGGUACAGAGUCAGUGUGGAGGCUAUAUACAGGGGGGUACCGGUACAGAGUCAGUGUGGGGGCUAUAUACAGGGGUACCGGUACAGAGUCAAUGUGGAGGCUAUAUACAGGGGGUACCGGUACAGAGUCAGUGUGGAGGCUAUAUACAGGGGGUACCGGUACAGAGUCAGUGUGGAGGCUAUAUACAGGGGGUACCGGUACAGAGUCAAUGUGGAGGCUAUAUACAGGGGGUACCGGUACAGAGUCAGUGUGGAGGCUAUAUACAGGGGGUACCGGUACAGAGUCAAUGUGGAGGCUAUAUACAGGGGGUACCGGUACAGAGUCAGUGUGGAGGCUAUAUACAGGGGGUACCGGUACAGAGUCAGUGUGGAGGCUAUAU
ensembl:lncRNA